rnacentral:rRNA from 1 species
CAAGUCGAACGAUGAACCACUUCGGUGGGGAUUAGUGGCGAACGGGUGAGUAACACGUGGGCAAUCUGCCCUGCACUCUGGGACAAGCCCUGGAAACGGGGUCUAAUACCGGAUACGAGCCUCCUCCGCAUGGUGGGGGUUGGAAAGCUCCGGCGGUGCAGGAUGAGCCCGCGGCCUAUCAGCUUGUUGGUGAGGUAACGGCUCACCAAGGCGACGACGGGUAGCCGGCCUGAGAGGGCGACCGGCCACACUGGGACUGAGACACGGCCCAGACUCCUACGGGAGGCAGCAGUGGGGAAUAUUGCACAAUGGGCGAAAGCCUGAUGCAGCGACGCCGCGUGAGGGAUGAAGGCCUUCGGGUUGUAAACCUCUUUCAGCAGGGAAGAAGCGAAAGUGACGGUACCUGCAGAAGAAGCGCCGGCUAACUACGUGCCAGCAGCCGCGGUAAUACGUAGGGCGCAAGCGUUGUCCGGAAUUAUUGGGCGUAAAGAGCUCGUAGGCGGCUUGUCGCGUCGGUUGUGAAAGCCCGGGGCUUAACCCCGGGUCUGCAGUCGAUACGGGCAGGCUAGAGUUCGGUAGGGGAGAUCGGAAUUCCUGGUGUAGCGGUGAAAUGCGCAGAUAUCAGGAGGAACACCGGUGGCGAAGGCGGAUCUCUGGGCCGAUACUGACGCUGAGGAGCGAAAGCGUGGGGAGCGAACAGGAUUAGAUACCCUGGUAGUCCACGCCGUAAACGGUGGGCACUAGGUGUGGGCGACAUUCCACGUCGUCCGUGCCGCAGCUA